rnacentral:rRNA from 1 species
UACGUAGGGUGCAAGCGUUGUUCGGAUUUACUGGGCGUAAAGGGCGCGUAGGCGGUCGUGACAAGUCACUUGUGAAAUCUCCGGGCUUAACUCGGAACGGUCAAGUGAUACUGUCGGACUAGAGUACAGAAGGGGCAACUGGAAUUCUCGGUGUAGCGGUGAAAUGCGUAGAUAUCGAGAGGAACACCUGGCGGCGAAGGCGGGUUGCUGGGCUGACACUGACGCUGGAGGCGCGGAAAGCUAGGGGAGCGAACGGG